CUUGGUCAUUUAGAGGAAGUAAAAGUCGUAACAAGGUCUCCGUUGGUGAACCAGCGGAGGGAUCAUUACCGAGUUUACAACUCCCAAACCCCUGUGAACAUACCUAUACGUUGCCUCGGCGGAUCAGCCCGCGCCCUGUAAAACGGGACGGCCCGCCCGAGGACCCUAAACUCUGUUUUUAGUGGAACUUCUGAGUAAAACAAACAAAUAAAUCAAAACUUUCAACAACGGAUCUCUUGGUUCUGGCAUCGAUGAAGAACGCAGCAAAAUGCGAUAAGUAAUGUGAAUUGCAGAAUUCAGUGAAUCAUCGAAUCUUUGAACGCACAUUGCGCCCGCCAGUAUUCUGGCGGGCAUGCCUGUUCGAGCGUCAUUUCAACCCUCAAGCUCAGCUUGGUGUUGGGACUCGCGGUAACCCGCGUUCCCCAAAUCGAUUGGCGGUCACGUCGAGCUUCCAUAGCGUAGUAAUCAUACACCUCGUUACUGGUAAUCGUCGCGGCCACGCCGUAAAACCCCAACUUCUGAAUGUUGACCUCGGAUCAGGUAGGAAUACCCGCUGAACUUAAGCAUAUCAAUAAGCGGAGGAA
rnacentral:rRNA from 1 species